CCUACGGGAGGCAGCAGUGGGGAAUUUUGGACAAUGGGCGCAAGCCUGAUCCAGCAAUGCCGCGUGCAGGAUGAAGGCCUUCGGGUUGUAAACUGCUUUUGUACGGAACGAAACGGUGAGCUCUAAUACAGUUUGCUAAUGACGGUACCGUAAGAAUAAGCACCGGCUAACUACGUGCCAGCAGCCGCGGUAAUACGUAGGGUGCGAGCGUUAAUCGGAAUUACUGGGCGUAAAGCGUGCGCGGGCGGUGAUGUAAGACAGAUGUGAAAUGCCCGGGCUCAACCUGGGACCUGCAUUUGUGACUGCAUCGCUAGAGUACGGUAGAGGGGGAUGGAAUUCCGCGUGUAGCAGUGAAAUGCGUAGAUAUGCGGAGGAACACCGAUGGCGAAGGCAAUCCCCUGGACCUGUACUGACGCUCAUGCACGAAAGCGUGGGGAGCAAACAGGAUUAGAUACCCUGGUAGUCCACGCCCUAAACGAUGUCAACUGGUUGUUGGGUCUUCACUGACUCAGUAACGAAGCUAACGCGUGAAGUUGACCGCCUGGGGAGUACGGCCGCGAAGGUUGAAACGUCAAAUGAAUUGACGGGCGNGAGAGNGCGAGGCGACGACGAGGGGAGUAGG
rnacentral:rRNA from 1 species